GACGAACGCUGGCGGCGUGCCUAAUACAUGCAAGUCGAACGAGAGCGACCGGUGCUUGCACUGGUCAAUCUAGUGGCGAACGGGUGAGUAACACGUGGGUAACCUGCCCAUCAGAGGGGGAUAACAUCCGGAAACGGAUGCUAAAACCGCAUAGGUCUUCGAGCCGCAUGGCUUGAAGAGGAAAAGAGGCGCAAGCUUCUGCUGAUGGAUGGACCCGCGGUGCAUUAGCUAGUUGGUGAGGUAGCGGCUCACCAAGGCCGUGAUGCAUAGCCGACCUGAGAGGGUGAUCGGCCACAUUGGGACUGAGACACGGCCCAAACUCCUACGGGAGGCAGCAGUAGGGAAUCUUCCGCAAUGGACGCAAGUCUGACGGAGCAACGCCGCGUGAGUGAAGAAGGUUUUCGGAUCGUAAAACUCUGUUGUUAGAGAAGAACAAGUGCUAGAGUAACUGUUAGCGCCUUGACGGUAUCUAACCAGAAAGCCACGGCUAACUACGUG
rnacentral:rRNA from 1 species